UUUUCCGCUUGUCGCGCGUUUUAUUUUACCGUGAGCAGAAAACAUUGCGCACAGUGUAUUGAAAAUUUAACGAGUGUUAACUUUGAAAAUAACCAACUUUGUCGUCAGAUCAACCCCUGGCAAGUCACAGGCCAUAAUUCACAAAAAAGGCCGAUUUUAAGCCAUUUUUGCCAAAUUUGGCAAUUUUCGGGCAACAAUUCCUCGAUGAAAAGUUGAAAUUCAGAUUCAGUGUCAAAAAUUACAUUGGAAACCACGCAAAUAAGGCUACCCGGUGUUUUCGUAGGCUAAAAUGUCUAUCUGCCUGGACUCAACAAGCGUCAUCGCUCCAUAAAGCUGUUUACAAAAAUGACCAUAUCUUGCGAACAAAAAAUUUCCAUGCGAGUAUUGAUAUAUCGAUGGAUGCGAAAUCAAUCGAACUAUCGAUUAGAUAACUUUAUAUUCAAAACAAAAUUGAGCCUUUUUUUGAUGAUUGCGGAUUUGUAAAAAUCGAUGAAUUUAAAAAUCGAAAAAUUGGCAACAAUGCAUGUUGAAAUUAAUAGGACAUCAAAAUGACGAGAAUAUCUUUAAAGUGCGCAAUUGGUAGAGAAUUUUCGUUCAAACUGCGAUUUCGUAGCUCAAUUUUAAUGUCACUUACGGAAUUUUGACGUUUCCAACUUGGCAACGUUAUAGCGCGCGGGAAAAAUUUUGAAAGAACUUGCCAAUGCCGAAAAAAGGCGUGUCUUGUGAUAGGGAACAACACAUCCAACUCCGGGCAAAGUCCACGAGGGGGGCAAAAUCGCCGAUUUUGUAUUAACCCUCUAUCUCUCUUUUGUUCGUUCCUUUCAAAACAACAACUUUCAUCGGUUGAAAAAUAUGAAAAUUAUGACUUACAUUUUCUCUUUUCAGAUCUCUAAUAUCGAUGGUCUUGUUUUGGAUCCUCUCCUGCAUCUUUUUUUCGAUGUCUAAUUGUUUCUGCAUACCUUGUUUCUCUUUGGCGAACUUUUGCUGCAUACCUUGUUUCUCUUUGGCGAACUGUUUCUGCAUAUCUUGUCUCUCUUUUUCCAACUGUUUCUGCAUAUCUUGUCUCUCUUUGUUGAACUGUUUCUGCAUAUCUUGUCUCUCGUUGUUGAACUGUUUCUGCAUAUCCUGUCUCUCUUUGGCGAACUGUUCCUGCAUCUCAUUUCUUGCGAUGUUAAUCUUCUCGUGCAUUUCAUUUCUUGCCCUUUCUUUUUCAUUUGCGAGCUGCUUCCUUAGGUUUUCGAUGUCAGUUUCGGAUCUCAACUUUUCAGAAUCUGUCUCGGUUUUCCCCACUUCUGUUAAUGGACUCUUUUCCCCUGGGAGCACCUUCAAAAACAUAUUGAAACACAUUUUUAAUUCCUAG
rnacentral:lncRNA from 1 species